rnacentral:tRNA from 1 species
GGACGAUUAGCUCAAUUGGCAGAGCAUACGGUUUACAUCCGUAGGGUUGCAGGUUCGAGUCCUGCAUCGUCCA